rnacentral:rRNA from 1 species
AUUGAACGCUGGCGGAAUGCUUUACACAUGCAAGUCGAACGGCAGCACGGGGGCAACCCUGGUGGCGAGUGGCGAACGGGUGAGUAACACAUCGGAACGUGCCCAGUCGUGGGGGAUAACGUAGCGAAAGCUACGCUAAUACCGCAUACGAACUCUGGUUGAAAGCGGGGGACUCGCAAGGGCCUCGCGCGAUUGGAGCGGCCGAUGGCAGAUUAGGUAGUUGGUGGGGUAAAGGCCUACCAAGCCGACGAUCUGUAGCUGGUCUGAGAGGACGACAGCCACACUGGGACUGAGACACGGCCCAGACUCCUACGGGAGGCAGCAGUGGGGAAUUUUGGACAAUGGGCGCAAGCCUGAUCCAGCCAUUCCGCGUGCAGGAUGAAGGCCCUCGGGUUGUAAACUGCUUUUGUACGGAACGAAAAGCCUCUUCUAAUACAGGGGGCUCAUGAC